rnacentral:ncRNA from 1 species
UGCGGUAACGCAACCGAUCCCUCCCCGAGAAGCCGGCGGGAGCCCCAGGGCUAGUUCUCUUUUCUUUGUGAAGGGCAAGGCGCCAAGGAAAUCCUUCGCCUGGAGAGAGGGGCCCGUGCCUUGGAAAGCGUUGCGCUUCUGGCAGCUUCGGGUGAGCUCUGGCUGGCCCUUGAAAAUCCGGGGGAGAG